GUGCUCGCUUUGGCACCACGUAUGCUAAAAACUGGAACGAUACAGAGAAGAUUAGCAUGGCCCCAGCGCAAGGAUGACAUGCAAAUUCAUGAAGCGUUCCUAUUUAUU